rnacentral:snRNA from 1 species
CUGCUUGUUUCAGCAGCACGUAUACAAAGAAGACCAGCAUGGUCUCUGAGCAAAAAUGACAUAAAUUCGUGAAGCAUUCCACAUUUUU